GACGGGGGAUGCAAGUGUUAUCCGGAAUCACUGGGCGUAAAGCGUCUGUAGGUGGUCAAAUAAGUCAACUGUUAAAUCUUGAGGCUCAACCUCAAAAUCGCAGUCGAAACUAUUCGACUAGAGUAUAGUAGGGGUAAAGGGAAUUUCCAGUGGAGCGGUGAAAUGCGUAGAGAUGCGGAGGAACACCAGUGGCGAAAGCGACUUUCUGGUCCUUAACUGACGCUGAGGCGCGAAAGCAUGGGGAGCGAACGGG
rnacentral:rRNA from 1 species